rnacentral:lncRNA from 1 species
CUCUCCUAAAUUUGUGCCUGCCCGGGCAACCAUAGAAAAGGAUUGAUAUGAGCAUGGCAGUUUUGGGAUUCAUGUGUUGAAGAUGGAAUCACAAGAUGCAAUGAAUCUGGGUCUUCAAGUCACCACUUGGAGGAGAGCUACCUGUCCAUGAAGAACACCUCUUUUGGACUUUCCAUAGCAAGAAGUUGGAACUUCAGUGCAGAGGGUUGAAGUAAUCAUAUUCUUCAGUUGAAG